rnacentral:rRNA from 1 species
AAACCAGCACCUCAAGUGGUCAGGAUGAUUAUUGGGCCUAAAGCAUCCGUAGCCGGCUCUGUAAGUUUUCGGUUAAAUCUGUACGCUCAACGUACAGGCUGCCGGGAAUACUGCAGAGCUAGGGAGUGGGAGAGGUAGACGGUACUCGGGAGGAAGUGGUCAAAUGCUUUGAUCUCUCGAUGACCACCUGUGGCGAAGGCGGUUUACCAGAACACGUCCGACGGUGAGGGAUGAAAGCUGGGGGAGCAAACCGGAUUAGAAACCCUGGUAGUCC